rnacentral:rRNA from 1 species
AGAGAGAGACAUGCGCGCAUAUCAAUAAGCGGAGGAAAAGAAACUAACAAGGAUUCCCCUAGUAACGGCGAGUGAAGCGGGAAGAGCUCAAAUUUGAAAUCUUAAAGGGUUUCCCUUUACGAAUUGUAGUUUAAAGAAGUGUUUUCUGUUGAGGUUUUGGUAAAAGUUCUUUGGAAUAGGACAUCAUAGAGGGUGAGAAUCCCGUAUUUGACCUUUACUUUCAACUUUGUGAUACACUUUCAAAGAGUCGGAUUGUUUGGGAAUGCAGUCCAAAAUGGGUGGUAAAUUUCAUCUAAAGCUAAAUAUUGGCGAGAGACCGAUAGCGAACAAGUACCGUGAGGGAAAGAUGAAAAGAACUUUGAAAAGAGAGUUAAACAGUACGUGAAAUUGUCAAAAGGGAAGCGUUUGACACCAGUGUUGUUUUUCUGAAAAUCAAUUAAAGAACUGUUUAUGCUAAGUUGUUUAGACUUUAUCAGCUAACUGUUUAGUUUUGAGCUUUUCUUUAAUGCACUUUUCAGUUAACAAGUCAACAUCAAUUUCUUUUGCUGUAAAAAAGCUUGAGGAAGGUGGCUUGAGAUUCGUCUUAAGUGUUUAUAGCCUCUUGCCUAUGCAGUCGGAGAGAUUGAGGUCUGCAGCGUAGAUCCUUCGGGGCUAAAUGCAUUUGUGCUAAGUUAUAACAUUUUAUAGACAACUUGUUGACUAUGAUUUGUCUUGUAGCUUACUCGCUUAUGUUAUUUUACCUACGCUUAGGAUGUUGAGCGCAUGUCUCUCUCU